rnacentral:rRNA from 1 species
AGUCACUGACAUUAGAUACCCGUGUAGUCCAGGGUGUAAACGUUGCAGACUUGGUGUUGGAAGCCCUUUGGGGGCAUUCAGUGCCGGGGAGAAGUUGUUAAGUCUGCUACUUGGGAGUACGUCCGCAAGGAUGAAACUUAAAGGAAUUGGCGGGGGAGCACCGCAACGGGAGGAGCGUGCGGUUUAAUUGGAUUCAACACCGUAAACUCACCAGGGAAGACUGUUACAUGAAGGCCGAGAUGAAGACUCUGCUAGAUUUUCAG